rnacentral:rRNA from 1 species
CCUACGGGAGGCUGCAGUGGGGAAUAUUGCACAAUGGGCGAAAGCCUGAUGCAGCAACGCCGCGUGGGGGAUGACGGCCUUCGGGUUGUAAACCUCUUUUAGUAGGGAAGAAGGACUUCGGUUUGACGGUACCUGCAGAAAAAGCACCGGCUAACUACGUGCCAGCAGCCGCGGUAAUACGUAGGGUGCAAGCGUUGUCCGGAAUUAUUGGGCGUAAAGAGCUCGUAGGCGGUUUGUCGCGUCUGCUGUGAAAACCCGAGGCUCAACCUCGGGCCUGCAGUGGGUACGGGCAGACUAGAGUGCGGUAGGGGAGAAUGGAAUUCCUGGUGUAGCGGUGGAAUGCGCAGAUAUCAGGAGGAACACCGAUGGCGAAGGCAGUUCUCUGGGCCGUUACUGACGCUGAGGAGCGAAAGCGUGGGGAGCGAACAGGAU